rnacentral:lncRNA from 1 species
CACAAUCGGUUAAGCCACAAUCGAAUGAAUCUUUGUGUAAUUAUUUUGCAUCUCGGGUAUUCCUACUAGAGCGUCAUCUCUGUGAGGCCAGGGACUUUGUCAUGCUGUAUAUUGUGGUCUCCCUGGGACAAUGCCUGGCACACAGCCAGGUGUCAAUACAUGCUAGUUGGGCAAGUGAGCAAUUAAAACCUCUCAUAAUCUACAUAAUCAUGUAUACACUGAAAUAACACAAGUAUGUCUCACAAGAGAUCUGUCAGUCUUUUCAAUACCGGAGUUAAUUCACAAGAAGAGAAUUCACAUGUAGCGUCAUUUUUUUAUAUAUCCGGCUAGUAAUUAGGUAACAUAAAAUUUUACUCGGGUUUUCUUACUUAUAAAAUGACUAUAGCUCUAACGAAAAGUCAGAUAAUAUUCCUUUCUUUUUUUCUCUGAAAUAGAUAUUCUGCAAAGAAGAAAAUCAUUCCCAAUUAUGAUGCUAUCAUUAGACCUCUCGGGCCUCCUAGGAAACAAUUCAUGAAGAGCCCACCAGCCAGCCUUUUGUUCAUUAUGUAAGAAGGCGGACUCUGGCUGGUACUUAGGUGAUAUUUUUGCCUGUGGAGAUCAAAAAAGAAACUAGUUGGCGGAGAAUAAUUUUCUUUAUUCUGCCUCUGCUUUAUAAUACAUUCCAUAUUUUCCUCAAACAAAUGUAUAAUCCUCAACAAGUUAACUGAUCUUUGGAAUGUGGGCACCACUGACUUUUAUUUUUAAUAAGGAUUAAAAUUAAGUAGGGAUUAUAUUAAAAUGCAGUUUUGGAGGAAGCCUUUAGAGUUUUAUUAAAUAUUGUAAAUAACCUUUCAAACUAUGAACUUGAGAAUGUAGAGGCUUGGGCAGCCUUUUGGACUUGUUCUUGGAAUGAAGGGCCGGAAUCGUUUCCACCAGGGUUCAAAAUCUUAUGUGAAUUCUACAAAUAGCAGAAAAUAUGGUAUUACAAUUUAUGGUUUGUUUGUUUGUUUAGUUUUGUUUUGUUUUUCUGUACCUGCAGCAUGUGGACGUUCUUGGACCAGGGAGAAAUCUGAGCUGCAGUUGUGACCUACACUGCCAUUGCAGCAAUGGUGGAUCCUUAACUCACUGCACCACAUGGGAACUCCUAUACACUCUUUUUAAAAGCUACCUUCAGCUGAAGCGGUAGACAGGAUCUAGGGGGGUGGGGAAUUGGGGAGAUGUUAUUAAAGGAUACAAACUUGCAAAACCUAAAGGUGAAUAAGUCCGGGGGAGCUAAUGCACAGCACCGUGACUGCAGUUAACAAUACUGCAUCAGCACCCUCAGAGUUGCUAAGAGACUAGAUCUUAAAUGUUCUCACCACAAGAAAAGAAAUGAUACUUAUGUGACAUAACGGAGGUGUUAGCUAAGACUGCUAUGGUAUUCAAGUUGCAAUACAUAAAUGUACCAAACCCACACAUUGUACACUUUAAACUUACAAAGGGUUAUAUGUCAAUUAUAUCUUAAGUCUCCUUUGCAAAACCUAGCCUCAGUAAGGAAUAUUAUGUUAAAGCUUCAAUUCAGCAGCAUUUUAAAUAUAUUCUAAGAAUGUUUCUCUAGUUGACGGGUGGUUAGAUAUGAAUGAUUUGUGUUAAAAUAUUGUAUUCAUUCAUUCAUUCAUCCAUCCAUCCAUUUAUCAAGAAUUUAUUUAAAACCCAAAAUGCACCAUGUCCAGUUCAAGGCACUUGGGAUAGACAUCAUAAAUAAAGCAUAAAAAGAUUUCUGCCCUGUGGAGAUUAUAUUGUAAUAGGGGAGACGUCCAAUUAACCAUCAAUAUAUUAUUACGUAAAUUAUGUAGCAUUAAUCUGUCCAAAAUGUUUAUUGAAUAUUUAUAAGCCCAGCAAUAUACAGAACAAAGAUCUCUAUGUCUGUGCAUUCCACUUUCUAACGAGGGGAGAUAAACAGCAAAUAGAAUAAAUAAGUUAUAUAGCGUAUUAGAAAUAGUUAAAAUUAAUAGAUCUAAAUCCAAAACAGAGGAAAUGGUUGAAAUAUGUUGAAAUAUAUUUUCUUUCCUUCCAAAAGUUUCAAAGAUUCUGAAUACUCUGAAAGCAAAAUAUGUCCACUUUUAACGAAUUAUUUGUAAAAAAAAAAAAAGUGUCUAGUCAUGAGAUCUCUUUUGUUAAUAAGUAUAAUCAUUCACUCUCUGAUGUAUUUAUUUUAAAAAUGCUGGAGUUCCCACUGUGGUGCAGUGGGUUAAGAAUCCAGUGUUGCCCCUGUGAUGGCUCAGGUCACUCCUGAGGCUUGGGUUUGAUCCCUGGCCCAGGGCAGUGCGUUAGGGUCUGGGAUUGCUGCAGCUGUGGGGUAGAUCACUGCUGCAGUUUCCAUUCCAUCCCUGGCCUGGGAAACUCCAUGUGCCAUGGGUCCAGCUGGAAAAGAAAAAAAAAAUGUUAUCAGUGCUUGUUUGGCACAGAAGAUGGCAGCAAACAAUGUACACCCAAUCCCUGCCCUCAUGGGCAAAUAUUUGCUAUUUAUCCUAGAACUUCAUGGAGAAGACACAGAUUUGAUAAAGCAUGUAUCUGCAUAGCACAUUUACCCUGAAGUGAAUAACUACUUUUUUAAAAAAUUGAAGUAUAAUUAAAUAAAAAUGUUGUGUUAGUUUCAGCUAUACAGUUUUAUAUAUACAUAUAGAGAGUAUAUAUAUUACAUAUAUAAAGUAUAUGUACUAUAAAGUGUGUGUGUGUAUAUAUAUAUACUUUUCCAGAUUCUUUUCCAUUAUAAAUUAUUACAUGACAUUAAAUAUUUCUCCCUGUGCUAUAGAGUAGGAGUAGGUCCUUGUUGUUUAUCUAUUUUGUAUAUUGCAGUGUAUAUACGUUAAUCCCAAACUCCUAAUUUAUCCUUCUCUCGAAUAACUACUUUUUAAAGACUUCUUUCCUGCUUCUUUUGUCAGUUGAAAAACUCCCGAAAUCUAAAACACUGUUUCUAACUGAAGGGAUGGGGAAAGGGUAACAGGCUUUGCUGCUGCCAAUAUUAUUCCAUUUUCAUUGGGACAAGGAAGCCUUUAUCGAAGCUACGUUAACUCAAUCAUCAAGGAAGGUGCAGGGAGAGAUGUUCCCGACUGCACAUCCCUCAGGCUGUCCAGGUAAAGAAACUGUAGCUUCUAUGAGAUUUUCAAUAACCACUUCUGUGACCUCCUUUCAACCCUUAAUUCAUGUAAUAUUCUUAAUGUCCCAAUGUCCAAAUUGGGGAAGUUAUUUUAAGGAAGAAACUGUACCAUAGCCAAUAUCUUAUGGUCAUUAAAUGCUCCAAAGAUUUUUGUGGUAGAAUGUGUUCUUUUGGCUAGCUUAGAGGUCCUUCCCCCCUUUUCCGUCCCUAGCACCCCACUUUUCCUUUGGCAAACCACCCGCUUCAUUCCACAUGCCAGGACUGCCAAUCAACUGACCCAGCUCCCUUGGCCAAGCAGUGUACCUGGGAACUGAGCCAGACCAGGCUGAUUCUUCUGGGAUUUGAAUCUUGAGUGGGGUGACUCAAGGUCAGAAAACAUUUGUAGCCAAGACUUUCUGAUGGUGGAGCCCUGAAGAAAUCAUCCAUUCUUUCUUGCCAUCUAGAACCCCACGCAUAACUGAAUUAUCCCAUAUAUCCUUCCAGUAAAAUCCCCUUAUAUUUAAACGUGCCUGAAUUGACUUCAGUUACUUCUGACCAAAGAAUCCAAUAUACUUACCCAUAUAAAUAGAUUGGAGAAUGUACUGAAUAAUUACUAGACCUUUAAAAAUACAUCUGUUGAGACUGGCAAGGAUGAGAAUUUAUUUUUUCUAGAGUCAGGCAAAAAAAAAUUGUAUUCUUUUUUUUUUUUUUUUUUGUCUUUUUGUCCUUUUUAGGGCCAUACCCACGGCAUACGAGGCUAGGAGUCUAAUCAGAGCUGUAGCCACCGGCCUACACUAGAGCCACAGCAACACCAGAUCCGAGCCACGUCUGUGACCUACACUACAGAUCACAGCAACACCGGAUCCUUAACCCACUGAGCAAGGCCAGGGAUCAAACCCACAACCUCAUGGUUCCUAGUCAGAUUCGUUAACCACUGCGCCACGAUGGGAACUCCAAGAAAAAUUGUAUUCUUAAAAGAAAUCAUUAUUUUAAAAAGGAAGUACAAAUAGAUUGGUCUUUUUAUGUGAAACUAUUGAUGACCAAAUAAAUUCUGUAAUGCAUAUAAACUUUUGCCUCUAAAACGACAUACUUAGGGCAGAAAUAAAGUGAGUCACUGCCAUAGUCCCUUCACUAAAAAAGGCCAUAUACGUAUAUACAUGUAUGUAUGUAUUUAUGUGUGUGUGUGUGUGUGUGUGUAGUCACACACACAUAUUUGCAUCUCUUAAGUAUCAUUUCCAGCCCUUCCAUUCUGAUGACUCCUCAGGGCUGUCGCCAUUUCUAACUUACAGGGAGGAAGCAAUCCAGAUCCUGGUGUGCCUUUUUCAACAUAACUCUGAUCACUGGCUUCCGAUUUUUAAAUUUCUGGGUUCCUAGAAUGUUUAAAUAAAUCAGGAAAAUUUUACAAACUUCAGAAUACAGUGUCAAUGGUGAAAAUAUGGCCAAAUAAUAAGUAACACUACUUGAUGAAUUUUUAUAGAUAGUGCUCUUAU